rnacentral:misc_RNA from 1 species
AAAGUCGGUCCACUCGAGGUGUAUACCAAAGACGCACGUUACACGUAUCCCAAUGUCGGUUGUUUUGUUACUUGACACCCCGUCUCUCGUGCUUGAGCUGCAUGCACACAUACAUCCUACGAAUACGCUACGAUCUGCAGAGACAAGAGCACGGUCAACAGUCUCAUACUGGUAAGUUCGUCAGCGAGUCUUCGCGAGUUUGCACCCAUCGUUCAACAUCGGCGUUAGGCAUGGUGUUUGCUUUACGUCAGCCGAUUUAACUUGUCAUUUUACACGAGUGAAAUGAAUAUUUAUCCGAAGAUAAAAUUGCCAUAGUUUAUUUCACGACGUAGUGAUUCAUCCCUGAGUAUAUUAUUUCAAGAACAAUGCAGACUUCAAAUAAUUCAUCGCAUUUUUACCAAUCGCUGCCCGUUCAUUCGAACAUUCGAUUGGCGAUUUUUGCGGAUGAUCCAUAAUUUUUGAGUAUGGAGAACAUUGUGCGUAGUAAUUCGUUGCCUUGGAAAAAAUGCAAUUUCAACUAUCUGAAGGCAAUAGGAUGGAAAGAAAUUAAACGAGAGCCGUCAUUAGAAUACGAAAGCAGUAAACAAAGAAGAAGAAAUUGAGAAGCAUUUGUUAUUGUCGGUUUUACUUGUUUGAUUUAAUUUCAACUCUGUGGGAAGAACUAUUGGGUCCAAUAAUGAAUACCUCAGCGGUAAACGACAAAGCUAAGAAAACUUUUUCUCCAAAGCAUAUUUUAUUAACCUUAAAAAAAAAUCCUGGACAUUCCCACAUGAGCGCAGUUAUUAGUCCUAUUGAUAAAAAUCGAGAUGCAAAAGUAUCUGGUAGAAAAUUACUCAAAAUGAAAAAGAACAUUUGUGAGCCAGUUAGCGAAGGUGUUCGUAGUAUUGUACUCAAGGAUGUGGGUAAUUUGGAUGAAUCAAACAUAGCCGACUUAUCCUUACCGAAAAUAACUCAAAUUUCUAGAAGUAACAAAAGAUUGCCAAGUAUAGAGCGCAGUUUUGCACUUGACAAGGGUCUGUUUACCGAAUCACAAUUCCUCCACAAAUGUACGAACAUGUUACACGAGCAGCAAAGAUUAGACAUUUUUUUCAAUAAAUCAGUCAAGAUGAAUACGAACGACUCGAAGUGUAGGACUCUACAAUUAACUCUGAACAAACAUAGUAGAUUCAUUCCUAAUAUUUUGAAAAGUACAAAAAUUAUUGACGGCACUUUCAGCAGUAUUACUGAUCCAACUGAGUCUGAUAAUGCGAGCGUUAUGAAAUGUAAUGAAGCUAGUGAACAUAGUGAAGAUCAAGUAAUGAAAAAAAGAAAAAGGAAGCAGGUCCUGAGGCCGUUAAAUUUGAAACGUCACCAAUCAAAGAUAAACCAAACGUUUGCAAAAAAAAAAAAAAUUAAUCUAUCUUUGCCAAAAUUCCGUGAUAAUCGGAAUUUAACUGAAGAUAGUAACUCAACAGCUCCUGAUGUGAAUCCAAAAAACAUAUCAGAGCAGGAUGUGGAGAGCGAAUUUUCCAAACCAAAAAAAGGCUAUUUAGCAAUUACAGAAGAACUAAUGCCGGACUCUAUCUACUGCGACGAGUUACAUACAGCUAAUCUGGAAGUACUAUGUAAGACUGGGAAUUUGUCUAAUGACAGUGAUGGUGCAAGUACCCGUAUUGAUCAAUCGGUUGAGAAAAUAUUUGAAGAGUUCAAAGAACCAGAUUAUAAAAAUUACAUUGCUUCCGAAGAUCUUCAUUUCGAUAUUGAUGAAAUGGAUAAAUUACUGAGUUCCGACGUAAAUAGUCUGCUAUUAGAAUCGUCAGCCAUUGUACAACCAAGUACAAAUAUAAUAGAAUACGAUGUAAACGGUAAUGAUAUUGUUAGGCACUGCAGAGAAUUUGAAAAUAGAUAUAAUAAAUCAACGCAGGAGCAGGACAGCAGUCGUAAAAUUACACACUGUUAUAACAAUGAGCUUGAAAUGCCAAUUAAUACAUUUACAAAAAUUAUACACUCUGAUAACUUGGAUGAUAGUUAUUCUAACACUUUCGAUUGUGAUUGGGAUUUUGAAUUUGAUGAUGAUUUUCAAGAAUUUCAACAAGGUCUUGAAAAGCCAACAUUUUCGACGUACAUUGGUUCUGAGCCUGAAAUUGGUGAAGUCAAUUAUACCAAGACUUCGAAUGCUGCUUUACCAAUAACUGAUGAGCUCAAUAGCUCUGCAAUUUCCCUGGUUGUUAGUAACAAGGUUCCUGAUAACGUUUUCAGUGACGAAUUUAAUGAACAGUCUUUAGACAGCCUGCAAUCUAAUGACGACAGGAUGAAACAGCUAUUGGAUUCCAAUUCUAAUGUUGAAAAGUACCACCUAAAUGCUAAUUAUAGCAGUGACAAUAAUAAUUGCGUUUCGCUCGAUUUCGAUACAAAUUGUGAACUCUUCAAAAGUGGGAAUUGCUCGGCAGACAAGAAACUGAACACUGAUUUACUGGAGGAACGAACCCAUAAAGAUUUUAAUGCAUUGUUUGAUUUUAAGGGCCAAUUUCUUGGUGAUGAAGAGUGUGACAUGAAUGGAUUGGAAAUUGAAAACGGUAACAUUGAAGAUUCACAACCUAUGCAACUAGGCGAUGCGUUUCUCAAUUCUUUACAGUCCGUCUCGGACGUUCCACUACAGUCCUGUACAUUUAGUGAUCUUCACAAUGAUCUAAGUUUGGAUCUUGAAAGAGAGUUUCAUGCAAACAGUAUUUUAAUAUCUAACUACCAUAAUUCUUGGAUCAAUGAUACUGAGUUUGAGAAACCUGUUCAAAUAAAAGCAACAAAUACUAAAACAGCUGGUUACAAUGUCAAGUCGACAUGUGUAAAUGCAAUAGAAAAUGAAGACUCUAUGUUACAAAAUGUGGUUCAAAGUGAAAUGCUUACAUCUUGCCUAGAUACCGGACAUCUGAAUUAUACUGAUUCUCUAUUACUAAAUAUAUUGUCAAGAAGAAGAAGCGAGCAUCCCUCAACCUGCGAUGCCAAAGUCAUUGAUACUGAUACUAUGCAAUCGUGUAGUAGAUGCUCACCACUAUGGAUGAUUAGGAAAAGAAAUCUAAAAAAAUUGAGUACAUCGAAUUUGGAAAGCUUAGCACAUGGUCCGCACAAUUGCAUGGAUUUGUUGCCAUUGAUAUCACAUAGAAGCAUUUCAGAAAUGUCUUAUAAAAAUGCACAGCCUUUUAAAAGUGGGAAAAAUUCUGAUGACAUCCAUCGAUUGCCACUGAAGAACCAUUCAGACGUUAGCCGCUUCCAUUCCACAAAAAGGUUCUACAGCAAAAUUUCUGGCUAUCAAACCGGCAAAAACGCAUCACACUUCAACUUCACUAAGGAAUUAAAUGUAACCUAUCGACACUUCAUACCCAGUUCAAAUGAGUCCCUUAAUCACCAAGAUCUACUUGAAGGCCAAUCGUAGAAUUUCAUGUAAAGUAUCUUCUUUAGAGAAGCUUAGAUCUACACACGAGCUUGUGACAAAUUUGGAAAAGCCAAGUCAAGCUGCGCGGAAUAAUUCUAA